rnacentral:lncRNA from 1 species
GGCGGGCUUCCCAUCUCCUGGACACCCCCAGGCAGCCCUCCUAGACGUCUAGCUCAAGACUCUGAACCGGACUCCGAAUCCCUUCCUGGUCCAUCAAGGCGGCCGGCCUGGGGACAGGCGGGGGAGACGUCACAGGAGAUACCCCCGCCCCAAGAUGCCUGAAACCUCCACGGGCUCCCAAUGAACCUCCCAAAUCGAAGCCCCUACAACAUGCUCUCAACAUUUCCAGAACAUCUACUGAGGGUACCCAGGUUUUUUCCCUGUCACCUCCUCCCCUCGCCCUAUUCCAAGCCCCACCAUGAAGAGCUGUAAAUGAGAUUGAUAGCCACGCACAUCAGACUUCACAGACUUUUUUAAGGAUAGGCACAAGAAGACUCGUUGAAGUGCCAUGCAAACUCCAAAGCACAGGAAAACCGAAUGGAAUUAUCAUCUUGCCCCCAUGGGGCUCCACACCCCUCCACCCCGACAGACUUGCUGGAUUACAGAUUGGGAGAUGGAGGCAGGCUAUAGACAUACAAUUGAGCACACCAACCUGUAGUAGGAGUGGGAGUUAAUAAGGAAGAGAAGGAGGCACUAAACACCUAAAAGCAGCCCCCAAAUUGAGCUACGUUGAAGUCAUUCUCCAUCUCAACCUCCACUCCGAAAUCCAACGCUGACAGUGGAUCCUUACCUUGCAAAGCCAGCUCUUGGCCCAGGAGACUGGCUGGGGAGGCCCUAGGGAGCUGAACUCAGCUGGACUGGACUUCUUUGACCUGCACUAGAGGGACCCUGGAGACUCUUCUUCACUGAAGGAAGGAGCAGAAAGCCUGUAAGUCUGGUCUAAAUUCCAGCUGGGGUGGAUAGCAAAAAAUAAUUUGUCCUCUUUGAGAUGGACAAGUGCUGUUCUAAUUCAAUGAGUUUAGUUUGUGCCGUCUCUCCCUAACCCAGGAACAGCAGGAGGCUGAACUACAGGAAUCUCUGGUCACUCAUUGACAGGGCUGGCCUUAGCAGGGGACCCCCCACGGCUGGAGACUGAAGCUGACUGGGGCCAAGCAGCAGACAAGGAGGGGGAGGGGAGAGGCCGCCCUUUGCUGCCACCUGCUAUAGCUAAUGGAGGUGGAACACUCAAGAUCCAGAAUAUGCUGUGGGUACCAGGAAGUCCUAGGAUUUGAGGAGCGAGACUCUAGUUUUUCCUUUCUUCAUACUGUUUGAAGUCAUGAAAGUAAUUCUGAUGAACCUUCAUGAGGCAGAUCACAACAGUAAUAUUCAGGCUAUUUGGGUAUGUAAAAAAAGGAAGAAGGAAAAAACCCAAACUGUUGUAUCCCAUGUGCCAAGACCCAGCACUGAGGGGAGGGGUCCAGAUUGCAGUACCUCAGAGGCUUUUCACUUCAUUCUGUUUCACGGCCCCCAGCUCCUCUUUACUGUACUGGGCAGGAGGAAUUUCAGGGAAUAAUCAAGCCUGCCAUGGAGGCAGUGGAUGCUGAGGUAGAGGGUCGAAACAGCACCCAACUUCUCUCACUGACCUCCCAACACAGGGACCAGCUGACCCUAUGAUAAAGGCGCUGUGCAAUGUGUCCUCUCCCCUGCUGUGUCAGGCCUCUAUGUUCCCACAGUUAGAGCACUCAGGGGACUAAAGACCUACCGCCCCCACUCUCCAUCCCCGCCCUGCUCCACAUCUGGAGCCCAUCAAAAAACUCAGCGCUCUCUCACAGUUACGCAAGAGGUCGAGCAGCUGGGAGCUCAGGAAAGGGGGAGGAAGAGAGGGAAAGAAAGCAGAAAACAGCUUUCCAGGCCUGCUUCAGACUUUCCGAAGUGGAAGCAGGGGGAGAGGGCAAAGCCUGGGUGUGGAAGGAAGAGUGGAUUUUUCUAAGGCCCUUUGCAUUGGCUACAAGUGUCAGGAGUGAAUUUCCAUACUCCUGCUUUUGCCUUGGCACAUUCCCCACUUUGUCCCACCUCUCAAAUUGUACUCCCUCUAGCCCCAGAGAGGUGAUUAUUGCUCAUACAGCAAGCAAUCCUUGUAGAUACACACCCUCUUCCAGAAAGCUGUCCGUUUCUGGCCUCUGGAUCCUGAAGUCAGGCAUCAUUGGUGUAGGCGUGGUGGUAGCAAUGACCCUGCAGCAACUUGGGGAAAAGUUCAAAGCUCUCUUUUCAGCUGUCUUAGAAAUUGCAUAGUCUGCUUCUACCCAAAGCUAACAUGCAUCCAAGCUAAGUGGGAAAUUUGGGUAGGACAGAAGACUGGUCUUGUGUACCUCCAAGGCUAAGGGCUUUCC